UGGGUAACCUGCCUGUAAGACUGGGAUAACUCCGGGAAACCGGGGCUAAUACCGGAUGGUUGUCUGAACCGCAUGGUUCAGACAUAAAAGGUGGCUUCGGCUACCACUUACAGAUGGACCCGCGGCGCAUUAGCUAGUUGGUGAGGUAACGGCUCACCAAGGCGACGAUGCGUAGCCGACCUGAGAGGGUGAUCGGCCACACUGGGACUGAGACACGGCCCAGACUCCUACGGGAGGCAGCAGUAGGGAAUCUUCCGCAAUGGACGAAAGUCUGACGGAGCAACGCCGCGUGAGUGAUGAAGGUUUUCGGAUCGUAAAGCUCUGUUGUUAGGGAAGAACAAGUGCCGUUCAAAUAGGGCGGCACCUUGACGGUACCUAACCAGAAAGCCACGGCUAACUACGUGCCAGCAGCCGCGGUAAUACGUAGGUGGCAAGCGUUGUCCGGAAUUAUUGGGCGUAAAGGGCUCGCAGGCGGUUUCUUAAGUCUGAUGUGAAAGCCCCCGGCUCAACCGGGGAGGGUCAUUGGAAACUGGGGAACUUGAGUGCAGAAGAGGAGAGUGGAAUUCCACGUGUAGCGGUGAAAUGCGUAGAGAUGUGGAGGAACACCAGUGGCGAAGGCGACUCUCUGGUCUGUAACUGACGCUGAGGAGCGAAAGCGUGGGGAGCGAACAGGAUUAGAUACCCUGGUAGUCCACGCCGUAAACGAUGAGUGCUAAGUGUUAGGGGGUUUCCGCCCCUUAGUGCUGCAGCUAACGCAUUAAGCACUCCGCCUGGGGAGUACGGUCGCAAGACUGAAACUCAAAGGAAUUGACGGGGGCCCGCACAAGCGGUGGAGCAUGUGGUUUAAUUCGAAGCAACGCGAAGAACCUUACCAGGUCUUGACAUCCUCUGACAAUCCUAGAGAUAGGACGUCCCCUUCGGGGGCAGAGUGACAGGUGGUGCAUGGUUGUCGUCAGCUCGUGUCGUGAGAUGUUGGGUUAAGUCCCGCAACGAGCGCAACCCUUGAUCUUAGUUGCCAGCAUUCAGUUGGGCACUCUAAGGUGACUGCCGGUGACAAACCGGAGGAAGGUGGGGAUGACGUCAAAUCAUCAUGCCCCUUAUGACCUGGGCUACACACGUGCUACAAUGGACAGAACAAAGGGCAGCGAAACCGCGAGGUUAAGCCAAUCCCACAAAUCUGUUCUCAGUUCGGAUCGCAGUCUGCAACUCGACU
rnacentral:rRNA from 1 species